GCUCCAUUGACGGGUUGGGAGCUGCCAGUUUUCUCACAUUAAAAAGAGCUGAUCAGCGCCUCGGGGGGACAGGCCCGGCCGCCCGGCUGCGCAGGGCCCGGGUCCUCAUUUAGAGCCAUUACACCGGGAAAAUUAAACAGCGCCUUUGUGUCCGCCGCGUUUACUUUGCAAUUGCUGACAGUUUAUAGCGAUCUGCUCCGAGACGGAGGUUUGAUUGCGGGUUGAUCGCCUGCUAGUUAGCGCCCCGGCUACUUCCCUUCGGGUAAUUAAAAGCAGCUCUGCUGAGGCCGCCCGGGGAAUGGCAAGAAGUCGGUCCUAUUUGGCUCGGGGGGACCCGAGGCUCCUCGCUGCAGAGAAUGUGGAGAUCAGCAGGGGAAGACGGCUGGUGGAGCUGGGAUCCCCGAGCUCGUGGGAUCAGUCUUCUUCGUUUAUUUUAAGCAAUCAACAGCAGCUUUUAUUGCUGGGGUCACUCUAAUUAGCUGAUGCCAAGAUCCAGUGGAGUUAAAUACCCGAGCCUAAGACCUGGAGACAGAUUGCUUUUGCUUGCAAAUGCGCUUGGAAGACAGCUUUUUAAAGAGACCAAAAAUCUCUCUGUCACACACACACUCCAACUCCAGACUGCUCUUGAGAGUUUCUCCUUGUAACAACUUUUCCCUCCCCAGCCUUCCUGGAUGCCCCGGUCUGAAACGCUUCCCAGCCGCCCACAACCCCCGUGAGGGGGCUAGUGGGAAGGGGACGAGGAAAAAAAGAAGGGAAUAUUCCCCGGGGGGACCAAAUAGUUUGCAAUGAUCAGGAGCACUCUAAUGUGUCUGGAUGGCUCCCCUCGCCCCCCAUCCCCUACCAUGAAUCUUGAAUAAACUUGUGGCGCUUUCUCCUGGGGGAGGCGAAGUCACCUCCUCGCUUUAUUCACUGCUGCGGAAAGCCCUGACCUGAUUGUGCCCGCUUCAGUCCGCACACCCGGGCAAACGCUGCAGUUCGUACCGACGAGCGAGUGAUCCCUGCACCCCCUUAAAAAAAAAAAAGAAGAAAGUUGUAGCUGGCUGAGCAGCGAGUUUUCUGACUAAUGAAAUCAAAAAAAUGAGUUGCGAAUAUCAA